rnacentral:lncRNA from 1 species
CUCCAGGGCAGCUACCGCUGCCUGUGCCCGCCCGGCCAGACCCUCCUCCGAGACGGCAAGACUUGCGCCCCGCUGGAGCGCAGUGGACCAAACGUGACCACCGUCAGCCACCGGGACCCCUUGGUGGCCUGGCUGCGUCCCCGCGCCCCCGUCCCCGGUGGGUCCUACCACGCCUGGGUCUCCCUCCGACCGGGCCCCAGAGCCCUGAGCACGGGCCGGGCCUGGUGCCCUCCUGGCUUCAUCCGGCAGAACGGCGUCUGCACGGGUAAGACCGAGCCCCAGCCGUGCCCACCGGGGACACACCCAGCUAUGUUGUCUCAGGCUCCUGGGCUGGGCGUGUGGGCACCACACCCGUGUUCAGAAACCCAGGGUUCACAGGUAAGCGGGGUAGGCGGUGCAGGCAGAUGGAAGCCUCCUUGCUACAAGGUUUCUUGGAGUCCUGGCUGUGCUCAUCGGCGAGGGGCUUCCAUAGUGGAUGGGGUCCUUUCCAAAGCAUUUGACUUCAGAACACUUUACCCAGAGGGAGGGCAGAUGUUCCCAGGAACCCACUUUGAGAACAUUCCUCUUGGUGUGCAGAGGUGAAGUAGUCAGGCAGGGAAGGAGUAUGUUCCAGGUUGACAUGAGAAUGUGAACAGGGACCGGGGGGUGCUACAGGGGCAGGGGGUGUCGAGGAGAGUCCCUGGGCCCUGCGGAGGCUGGCGCUGGGCUGCAGAGGUGCGAAGGGGGAGGGUAGCCUGGAGGGCGGAUGUGCUUCAGCGCUGCCACCUGGGCAGAGGGUGUCCUGGAAGCGCUGUCUCCACCCCCCGUGCCUUGGUGCGCAUCAAGCCCAGGGAGUCUCCUAACCUCGCGAUCCAGGGUUGGGUGGGGCAGGGCAGGGAGAAGGCCGGGUGCCUAAGGCAGGGACUUCCCUGGCUUGUCCUGAGCCCUGCGGUUAGUCGUGUGGCCGCCUGGGCAUCUGUGACUCAGUGUUUCUCUGUCCCCAUCCCGCCACCCCAUGGCCCGGGCCAGACCUGGACGAGUGCCAGCUGAGGAGCCUGUGCCAGCACGCCUGCCGAAACACCGAGGGCAGCUACCACUGCCUCUGCCCCGCUGGCUACCGCCUCCUCCCCAGCGGGAAGAACUGCCAGGACAUCAACGAGUGUCAGGAGGACAGCAUCGAGUGUGGGCCCAGCCAGAUGUGCUUCAACACCCGCGGCAGCUACCAGUGUGUGAACACGCCGUGUCCUGCCACCUUCCGGCAGGGCUCCAGCCCUGGGACGUGCUUCCGGCGCUGCUCGCAGGACUGCAGCACGGGCGGCCCCUCCACGCUGCAGUACAAGUUGCUGCCGCUGCCCCUGGGCGUGCACGCCCUCCAAGAAGUGGCCCGCCUGGCCGCCCUCUCCGAGGCCGGCGUCCCCGCCAACCGCACGGAGCUCAGCGUGCUCGAGUCCGACCCGCGCAGCCCCUUCGCCCUGCGCCCGCUGCGCGCCGGCCGCGGCGCGGUCUACACCCGCCGCGCGCUCACCCGCGCGGGCCUCUACCGGCUCACCGUGCGCGCCGCGGCGCCGCGCCACCAAAGCGUCUUCGUCUUGCUCAUCGCCGUGUCCCCCUACCCCUACUGAGGGUCGCGGUCGUGGGCAGCGGCUCUGGGGCCAGCGACCUCCGGGGAUGGGGGGUGGAGAGGCCCCGGCCGCACCGCCCAGGUGGCCCUUGCCCACGCCACCUGCUGUGGCAAGCGACGUCAUCUUCUCCCGUCCCCGUGCGUCAUCGAGACCUGCAGCAAACACGACCCUGCGCGCAACCUUGACCCCGGGACAGCGAGAACCCGAGCUCCCCCUAGUCCCCCGCCCCCCCCCCCCCGUGGGGGUGGAGCCCGGCAGGCAGGUGACAAAGGCUGCCCUUAGGUGGUAAAGGGCAAAGGGGAACCUGGCCCGGGACACAGGGCACCAAGACACCCGAGGGGAGGGGCAGCAGUUGUCACCCGCCCAUACCUGGCACUGUCAUCCUGAACCCGGUGUGUGUAUGUAUACUAUAAAAAC